rnacentral:rRNA from 1 species
AGUGAACGCUAGCGGCAGGCCUAACACAUGCAAGUCGAACGAAGUCUUCGGACUUAGUGGCGGACGGGUGAGUAACACGUGGGAACGUACCUUUUGGUUCGGAACAACUCAGGGAAACUUGAGCUAAUACCGGAUGAGCCCUUAGGGGGAAAGAUUUAUCGCCGAAAGAGCGGCCCGCGUUAGAUUAGCUAGUUGGUGAGGUAAAGGCUCACCAAGGCUACGAUCUAUAGCUGGUCUGAGAGGAUGAUCAGCCACACUGGGACUGAGACACGGCCCAGACUCCUACGGGAGGCAGCAGUGGGGAAUCUUGCGCAAUGGGCGAAAGCCUGACGCAGCCAUGCCGCGUGAAUGAUGAAGGUCUUAGGAUUGUAAAAUUCUUUUACCAGGGACGAUAAUGACGGUACCUGGAGAAAAAGCCCCGGCUAACUUCGUGCCAGCAGCCGCCGUAACAC